UUAAACGUCAACACUUUUAAGGUCAACCCUGUUACUUUAUUUGGGCACUUCAAAAACAAAUUUUAUUUGUCACAUGCGCCGAAUAUAACAGGUGUGUAGACUUAACCGUGAAAUUCUUGCUUACAGCCCUUCACAACGAUUCAAAGUUUUUAAAAAAACAUGGGGAUUGUAACAAGAGGAAUAGAAUACACAAUAAUAACACCAUAUACAGGGAUUACCAGUACCAGAUCAAUGUGCAACUAUAUACAGGGAUUACCAGUACCAGAUCAAUGUGCAGCUAUAUACAGGGAUUACCAGUACCAGAUCAAUGCGCAGCUAUAUACAGGGAUUACCAGUACCAGAUCAAUGUGCAGCUAUAUACAGGAAGUACCAGAUCAAAGAGAUAAAUGUGCAGGGUAAAGUGACUAGGCAUCAGGACAGACCAGAAUACAAUAAAGUGCAGAGUAGCUGCAGAUGAGUGGAACCGUGUGUUUAUAUAUGCCUCCUAAAUGACGUACUAUAGUCAUGUAUUUGUUGUACAGAUGAGAAAACAUGUUUUAAUGAAGUUGUUAAUGUAACAGUAUAACUUUAAUCUAGCUAGCCAUUUCACAUCCGUUACAGUAACAUUAGUUGAAAUAAAAGUUACACUACCCAAAAUAUACUCAAUUGGAGGCAGAACCCACACAGUCAUCAGCCCUAGGCUAAAUACCAACAAGGUAUCCACGCAGCCCUACUAACCUAGGCUCAAUGCCAACAAGGUAUCCACUCAGCCCUACUAACCUAGGCUCAAUGCCAACAAGGUAUCCACUCAGCCCUACUAACCUAGGCUCAAUGCCAACAAGGUAUCCACUCAGCCCUACUAACCUAGGCUCAAUGCCAACAAGGUAUCCACACUCACUAUGUCCUCUGUAUGCUGUUCUAACCCAUCUAUGAAAGGGUGUGAUGCACUCUUGGUUGGAAUGAGGUCCAUGUCCAUCUCAGCUUUUCUCUUCCUUGGAGAAAAGGUCAGUGGAAGGUCUUUAUCCUGUGGAACAUGGGCCUUCAUAUCCAGCAGCACACUUCUGAGCUGUGAAGACAGGUCAGUCACGUACUGUUCCUCUUGGAGAUGAUAAGUGAGUUCUGUGAUCUCUUUAAGAUAUCCUGCACAUUGCCUCCGUAACCGCAACAGCUUCCUAGAGGACCUCUUCUUUCCUCUUCCAGAUGGACCUUCGUAUGGACGGUCAAUGUUGGAGUCUCCGGUGGCCCGCUUGGUCUUAAACAUGACAUUUCUUAUGUCACUGUCAGUGGGGUAAUAGCGCCUGCGAGUAGGUGGAGGGGGCUGCUCUCCAUGGAAAAGCUCUUCCACUACAAAGGUGUUCAGAUGACACUUCAUUUCAGUCAUCUUUCUCACACCAGACAGAGUCAGCUGCUCAAUCUUCUCUCUCAGCCUGGCAUCUACAGCUUCCCUAACAUGAGCUGCCUGUUGGAGAAAGAACACAUGGGUUUAUCAUAAAGGGGCCAGUGGGUCAGGGGGUAACUUAACCAACAGUCUAUUAUAUAGGUUCUAUAGUUAUAUUUACCUCGCCAACAACUGCAUGUGAGCUGUGCUCAGAGAGGGAGGGGAACCUGACGCAGUAGACAACCUCUGCCUUCACGGAGCUGGGUGUUUCACUUAGUGCUGCCUUCAGAGUUUGGGAGGCAGCUCAUGUUAGGGAAGCUGUAGAUGCCAGGCUGAGAGAGAAGAUUGAGCAGCUGACUCUGUCUGGUGUGAGAAAGAUGACUGAAAUGAAGUGUCAUCUGAACACCUUUGUAGUGGAAGAGCUUUUCCAUGGAGAGCAGCCCCUCCACCUACUCGCAGGCGCUAUUACCCCACUGACAGUGACAUAAGAAAUGUCAUGUUUAAGACCAAGCGGGCCACCGGAGACUCCAACAUUGACCGUCCAUACGAAGGUCCAUCUGGAAGAGGAAAGAAGAGGUCCUCUAGGAAGCUGUUGCGGUUACGGAGGCAAUGUGCAGGAUAUCUUAAAGAGAUCACAGAACUCACUUAUCAUCUCCAAGAGGAACAGUACGUGACUGACCUGUCUUCACAGCUCAGAAGUGUGCUGCUGGAUAUGAAGGCCCAUGUUCCACAGGAUAAAGACCUUCCACUGACCUUUUCUCCAAGGAAGAGAAAAGCUGAGAUGGACAUGGACCUCAUUCCAACCAAGAGUGCAUCACACCCUUUCAUAGAUGGGUUAGAACAGCAUACAGAGGACAUAGUGAGUGUGGAUACCUUGUUGGCAUUGAGCCUAGGGCUGAGGACCGAGUGUGUGGGUCCUUCCACAAAUUGAGUAUAUUUUGGGUAGUGUAACUUUUAUUUCAACUAAUAUUAGCAUUCUGUCAACACAACUUGAUAAGGGGGGGGGGUCAAGAGGGGAGAGCAUUCUUAGUUUUGAAUGUUGUUCUGGAGGCAGCGCUGCGGAGUGCUCACUAGCUGGCACAGUCAUAAAAUCUGAUUUUAAACCUAAUUGUUAACCACACUGCUAACCCUCAUUUCUAACCUUAAAUUAGCUUUUUGAUCUUAACUUGUGUUUGUAUGAUUUCUGACAACAUACAGUGUGUUCGUUAAGUUCAGACACCUUUCCCUUUUUCCACAUUUUGUUACAUUACAACCUAAUUCUAAAAUGGAUUCAUUUGUUAUUUUCCUCAUUAAUCUACACACAAUACCCCAUGACGACAUCACAAUACCCCAUGACGACAUCACAAUACCCCAUGACGACAUCACAAUACCCCAUGACGACAUCACAAUACCCCAUGACGACAUCAAAAUACCCCAUGAUGACAUCACAAUACCCCAUGAUGACUAAGCAAAAGCAGGUCUAGAAAUGUUAGCAAUUAUUUUAAUUUUGUUAAUAAAAAUAAAAUAUUACAUUUACAUAAGUAUUCAGACCCUUUACUCAGUACUUUGUUGAAGCACCUUUGGCAGCGAUUACAGCAGACUUCUUGGGUAUGACGUUACAAGCUUGGCACACCUGUAUUUUGGCAGUUUCUCCCAUUCUGCUCAGCAGAUCCUGUUAAGCUCUGUCAGGUUUGAUGGGGAGCGUCGCUGCACAGCUAUUUUCAGGUCUCUCCAGAGAUGUUC
ensembl:lncRNA